ACAAAGGAAAAGAUGUGUUAUGACUUAGGAAUAAAAA
rnacentral:sRNA from 1 species